GAUGAACGCUGGCGGCGUGCCUAAUACAUGCAAGUCGAGCGAACAGAUGAGGAGCUUGCUCCUCUGACGUUAGCGGCGGACGGGUGAGUAACACGUGGAUAACCUACCUAUAAGACUGGGAUAACUUCGGGAAACCGGCGCUAAUACCGGAUAAUAUAUUGAACCGCAUGGUUCAAUAGUGAAAGACGGUUUUGCUGUCACUUAUAGAUGGAUCCGCGCCGCAUUAGCUAGUUGGUAAGGUAACGGCUUACCAAGGCAACGAUGCGUAGCCGACCUGAGAGGGUGAUCGGCCACACUGGAACUGAGACACGGUCCAGACUCCUACGGGAGGCAGCAGUAGGGAAUCGUCCGCAAUGGGCGAAAGCUUGACGGAGCAACGCCGCGUGAGUGAUGAAGGUCUUCGGAUCGUAAAACUCUGUUAUUAGGGAAGAACAAAUGUGUAAGUAACUAUGCACGUCUUGACGGUACUUAAUCAGAAAGCCACGGCUAACUACGUG
rnacentral:rRNA from 1 species